UGGGGAAUAUUGCACAAUGGGCGAAAGCCUGAUGCAGCAACGCCGCGUGAGUGAUGAAGGUCUUCGGAUUGUAAAGCUCUGUCUUUUGGGACGAUAAUGACGGUACCAAAGGAGGAAGCCACGGCUAACUACGUGCCAGCAGCCGCGGUAAUACGUAGGUGGCGAGCGUUGUCCGGAUUUACUGGGCGUAAAGGGUGCGUAGGCGGAUGUUUAAGUGAGAUGUGAAAUACCCGGGCUUAACUUGGGUGCUGCAUUUCAAACUGGAUAUCUAGAGUGCAGGAGAGGAGAAUGGAAUUCCUAGUGUAGCGGUGAAACGCGUAGAGAUUAGGAAGAACACCAGUGGCGAAGGCGAUUCUCUGGACUGUAACUGACGCUGAGGCACGAAAGCGUGGGUAGCAAACAGGAUUAGAUACCCUGGUAGUCCACGCCGUAAAACGAUGAGUACUAGGUGUAGGAGGUAUCGACCCCUUCUGUGCCGCAGUAAACACAUUAAGUACUCCGCCUGGGAAGUACGAUCGCAAGAUUAAAACUCUAAAGUGAAUUGAC
rnacentral:rRNA from 1 species